AGUUAAUGAACUUGAAAAAGUAUAUAUUUUGAAAAUAUAUGAAAGAAGUUUAAAUCUUCUAUUAACUU
rnacentral:tRNA from 1 species